AGUUUGAUCAUGGCUCAGAUUGAACGCUGGCGGGAUGCUUUACGCCACCGGGAGUCAGGCGGCGGCACGGACUUCGGUCUGGUGGCGGUGGUGGGUGAUAAUGUAUCCGGAACGUGCCUAGUAGCGGGGGAUAACUACGCGAAAGCGUAGCUAGCCUAUACGCCCUUCGGGGGGAAGCGGGGGAUUAUUCCGGGCCUCGCACUAUUAGAGCGGCCGAUAUCGGAUUAGCUAGUUGGUGGGGUAACAACAGCUCACGCAAGGCGACGAUCCGUAGCUGGUUUGAGGACGACCAGCCACACUGGGACUGAGACACGGCCCAGACUCCUACGAGAGCAGCGAUGCAGAAUUUUGGACAAUGGAAACCUGAUCAGCCAUCCCGCGUGUGCGAUGAAGGCCUUCGGGUUGUAAAGCACUUUUGGCAGGAAAGAAACGGCACGGGAUAAUACCCCGUGCAACUGACAGUACCUGCAGGAUAAGCACCGGCUAACUACGUGCCAGCAGCCGCGGUAAUACGUAGGGUGCAAGCGUUAAUCGGAAUUACUGGGCGUAAAGCGUGCGCAGGCGGUUCCGGAAAGAAGAUGUGAAAUCCCAGAGCUUAACUUUACGGAACUGCAUUUUUAACUACCGAGCUAGAGUGUGUCAGAGGGAGGUGGAAUUCCGCGUGUAGCAGUGAAAUGCGUGAAUAUGCGGAGGAGGAACACCGAUGGCGAAGGCAGCCUCCUGGGAUAACACUGACGCUCAUGCACGAAAGCGUGUUGAGGAGCAAACAGGAUUAGAAUACCUGGUAGUCCACGCCACAACGAUAUCAACUAGCUGUUGGGGCCUUCGGGCCUUGGUAGCGCAGCUAACGCGUGAAGUUGACCGCCUGGGGAGUACGGUCGCAAGAUUAAAACUCAAAGGAAUUGACGGGGACCCGCACAAGCGGUGGAUGAUGUGGAUUAAUUCGAUGCAACGCGAAAAACCUUACCUACCCUUGACAUGUCUGGAAUCCCGAAGAGAUUUGGGAG
rnacentral:misc_RNA from 1 species